UCUAGACAACUGGGAUAUUCUAUGUUGCUCAUUUCAAGGGGAUAUUGAUAAUCAUUACCCUUCCCAUCCAUUACUCCAUUUUGUUAAAGAACAUCCCAUCAUUUUCCCUAAGGUAACUUCACCCAAUCCAAUUCUGGGGGCUGUUAAUAUUUUUACUGAUGGUUCCAAGUCUGGAAUGGGAGCUUAUGUAAUUAAUGAUUCUCCCCCUGUUCAGCAUCAAUUUGCUCCUGGAAAUCCACAAUGGGUGGAACUGCAAAUUGUUAUUGAGGUUUUUAAACAGUGUUCUUUUCCUUUUAAUCUUAUUUCGGACUCCAUCUAUGUGGUACAAGCACUAAAAGUCCUGGAGGCCUUGGGAGCUAUUAGUAAUGCCCAUAAUGUAUCUGCUUACUUUAAUCAGCUUCAACAGCUUAUCUGUAGCUGCACUGCUCCUUUUUAUCCAAUGCACAUCCGGGCUCACACCUCUCUUCCUGGUCCGUUAUCACAGGGUAAUGCCUGUGCGGACUCAGCCACUAGAGGUCAAUUGAUAUCUUGGCUUCCUCCUUAGAGGGGGCUAAAUUGUUUCACCAGAAUUUCCAUGUUAAUGCUUUAACGCUGCGCAGGCGUUUUUCCAUUUCAAGAGUGGAUGCUCGUCAGAUAGUAUUA
rnacentral:lncRNA from 1 species